AACCCGAUUCUUUAUAUGACUCGGGAUUCAUGAAUCAUUCUCUUCAUUUACUCGGAUCACUUGAGUCUUUGGUUAUUUUGCCACCAGAUAUAAAUACAAAUUGUAAAUUACACCAUUAAUUGUUAGCAAGAAACUGUAGCAACAAGUAGCUGACUGGGUUGUUCAGGAAACUUCCUUUAUGUUCAGAAACACAAGAAACUCAAAAUGGCGAAUUCUAUGCGAGUCCUCGCUGAUCCACCUGAACCGUGGGAUUCAGCGGAUCUGUCGGACUCGUAGCGCGGAGCGAAACAGCAGAAUCCGAGAGAUUUGUGAAUGAGAUUCAUGAGUCCACGGAUGAAUUGUGAGAACGUUCGGUAAACAAGUCCCAGCGACAGGGGUCGUUCCUCCCGUCCCGGGUUCGAAUACUCUUCCAAAGGCAUCUGGACCGCCACCGAUGGGCGGGCCACUUCCUCGAACAAUGCCGCCUCCGAACGGCCAUUACCAACCAGUUCAUGGGCCACCUCUGAGAGACUUCCCAUCCAUGGGUCCACAUCCAGCACCUCACGCCAUACACGAGUUCCCACCCAACUUUCCCAGACCUCAAGACCCUCCUUUCCCCACCUCGGCCCUCCCCUCCCGGGACUUUACCACCCCCUGGCACUGUGCUUCCACCUGAUUUAGAUGAAUAUUUUUCCGAAAUGAUCUCCGAGAUGGUUGUAAUGUGACCGAAACAAAACGCUCUAAUACUAAAUUUAACCCUAAUCACAUAAAAUCUUGGGUGUUUUAUAAUGAAUUUCUGUUUUCUCGCUAAAAAAACGAUUUGCUGUCAUAUUGACAAGGUCCCUGUGCAUUUCUCUUCAUCUGUGUACAAUAAAAUGAUGUAUUAAACGAAA